CCUACGGGAGGCAGCAGUGGGGAAUAUUGCGCAAUGGGCGAAAGCCUGACGCAGCGACGCCGCGUGAGGGAUGAAGGUCUUCGGAUCGUAAACCUCUGUCAGCAGGGAAGAACGGUCACUGUGCUAAUCAGCAGUGAAUUGACGGUACCUGCAAAGGAAGCACCGGCUAACUCCGUGCCAGCAGCCGCGGUAAUACGGAGGGUGCGAGCGUUAAUCGGAAUUACUGGGCGUAAAGCGGUCGUAGGCGGCAUUUCAGGUCAAGGGUGAAAUCCCCGCGCUCAACGUGGGAACUGCCUUUGAAACUGGCGAACUGGAGUGUGUAAGCGGAUAGAGGAAUUCGAGGUGUAGGAGUGAAAUCCGUAGAUAUC
rnacentral:rRNA from 1 species